rnacentral:piRNA from 1 species
GAAAGUGAGGUUUGGCUGAAAGAGCUC